rnacentral:lncRNA from 1 species
CUUCUUGCUGCCAUGGAAACCAACAGCCUUCACACCUAUGGGGCCUGAUGAGGACUCAGGAUGGGCAGCUUCUGAAUCUUACAUGGUCUCUGCUGCUCACCGCUCAUCUUUCAGGGGUGGCCAAGAACUGGGGCACCGUGCGCAGCAGCACGCGGCCCGGGCUGCCCUGCCUUCUAGGCCUGGAGCUCGAGCCCCCAGGGUGGCAAUACCAAGCUGGAGGGUAAGCAAGGGUGGAGUAAUAGUGGGGUUGAGGUCUCCGAGGCAAGUACGGAGCGUGCCCCCACCACUUCGAGGCCGCCUAUCCAGGGGCGGUGGCUAGGAUGAGCUCAUGGGGGCGGGGCGCCAAGAUCCCGCCCUUCUCGACCCCCCUCACUGCUCGCGAUGCAGGAUGGUCCCCAAAACAACAUUCAGGAGGGUGCGAGUACCCCCUUCAUAGCUGAGGGCUCUUGAUUACCUGGCUCUAGCCCGCAGACUCUUGCACCAGUUCCCAGCACUCAGAGGGGACAGGCCAGCGAUCCCCUGAUUUCCCGGCCCCAGAAGCCCCUCGAGCCGAGGCCCAGAAGCUCAGCCCUCGGCCUCAACCCGCUGGCGAGGGGCGCCAGGACCCCGAUCGGCGCACGGAGCCCACAGGUGGCGCCGCAACUUCGCGGUUGCGCUGCGCCUUCUCAGCAGGGCCUAGCGCGCUGCCCAGCCUGGCUACCGUGGGGUGCGCCCUGUCCCCAGUGGCUGCUCACCCAGAAGACGAAAUUGAAGACGAAGAGCAGGAUUUCAACAUAGACCAAAGACCAGCAUCUCUUCAGGAAUCCUCUAGGACUCCAGCACUAGAUGGUACUGCUGAGACACCCAGUCUUGGGGACUGAACAACUGCCAGAUUCUUGGCCUUCCCACUGGAAUACUGCUAUUGUUGGAAUACCAGGCUACAGCCGAAAGUGAAUAACCAUAAGCGCUGCUGGCUAUUAAUCCUUUGCAGUGGAACUGGGCUCUGGUUUCCAGAUCAAUACGUAGUAAUUAAGAGAGAAAAAUUAUUAAAUAAGACUCAGAGGCCUUAAAUUCUUGGCAGAUAAGAGAGUCAGAGGACUUCACAAAGGACAUUGCCCCACAGGAUGGGGACCGGGGAGCUGUGAUGAAGACAGGUCUGAGUGAAGAUGUUUGGAGUCCAGGUAUCCCCUGAACCCUGCACCAAAGGAGAAUGUGUGAUUCCUGGUGAUGUUUGCUGUCCCCCUGACAUCCAUAACUCAAAGACUAUGGGUCAUGUGAUUGAGGAAUAAGCUAGGGAAGAUACAUGAAGAAAACAGUCAAAGAUCUGAUCUGUCCGUGGUUAAAGAUGUGAGCUCGCCAUGUCUUCCACUUGUUGCUAUGCCUUCCUGCGAUGAUGGACUCGCAUCCCUCUGGAACGAUGUUUCCAGAGCGGUCUAACCUGGGCAGGAGUGAGCACUUUCCAGCAAGUGGCUGAGUACUAAAAGGUGGCCCAGUCUAAAGAAAAAGCAGUGUUGGCUGCCUGCCUGCCUUCCCUGGGUCUGGAGCCAGUGUGUCCAUCUGCUGCCACUGUCUUCUUUUGACGUCAGACUGAAGUUUCUUCAGCCUUCUCUAACAAGAACGAAACACCAGUGACUCUUCAGGAAUUUUCCAGGCCUUCAGCACCAGACUGAGACUGCUGAAGCGAUCAGCUUUUUGGACUAAACAGCCUGUUUAGUGUUGUGUAAGUCAAUCUAAUAAAUCCUCCUUUAUAACACACAUUUCCUCUAUUAGUUCUGUCUCCAAAGAACCCUAUUUCAUCCAUAUUGAGGUACCAGUAGUAGGUUCUAGAGAGGCAGAACUCUAAGGAUGAAUUUCUCUAGUGGGCUUGAUGGUGUUUGACUUAGCUCUCCAAUUCAUCUACACUUGGAAUUGCAAAGACUCUACACUUCUCUGGUAGUGUAGAGAGAGCAUUACCAAUCCGUCUUAGGCGUCCAAGAACUGUACAGUGAGUUCACACAUACACACGCAUACAUGUGCACACAUGUAUAAAUAAACAAACAAAUUAAAUAAAUAAAUGUAACUUAAAAAUUAAAAGGAAAGAGAAUGGCUCUUCCUUCCAAGAAUGGAUGUGGGCUGAGAGGUAGCAAAGGUUUGAAUCUCUGAUGGUGCUGAGCCAGAACAGUCAUGAGCCUCUGUGGGUCACAUAGUACUCACAUAGUACCCACAUGCUCCACAUUUGGAGCAUAAAGGGCAGGAGCUUUCCUCGGGGGUGCUCUGUGCCUGGUAUGUGUCCUUUGUUAUAUGUUUCCAGCCUUCUGUUACCAUUGGUCUCUUCUAUAUGCUAAUCUUCAUCCUCCUUUCCCCCAACAUGCCAUGCUAAUGGACAGCAGAGACCAAACAGUGUCCAUAACUGAUCCAACUUGGGUAUCUCAGUGGUGUGUGUCCCUAAAAGUGCAAUAGAUGGGGGUUGGGGGAGGAGCUUACUAAACACUACUCCAUCUGUGUAGACAAAUUACAGAGCAAAUGAAACAUUUACCUUGAAAGACUGGAGAGGCAGCUCAGUGUUUAAGAGCACUGGCUACUCUUCCAGAGAGCCUGGGGUUCAAUUCCCCCCCACCCAUAUGGCAGUUCACAACAGUCUCUAAUGGCUGUAGUCCUAUGGGCUCCAAUGUCCUCUUUUGACUUCUGCAAGCACCAGGCAUGCAAGUGGUACACAGAUAGGCAUGCAGGCAUACCACGCAUAGGGGCCCUGUUUCUGAACACCACAGUCAGAUUAAGUUUGUAUCCUUUUAAUCCUCACAACGAAGAUCAAACUUGGAGACAACAUUAAACUUCAAUUCAACUGCAUCCAAAUCAUAUAAUUACUAAAGGACUAAUCUUAAAGCCAAAGGCAGAAGAGCACGGGGAGGCUGCCCUGGGAUUCACUGAAGUUGCCAUUCAUACAGCUAAUGAUCAGGGGCACUCUGUGGAAUGUGACUUCUUAGGAAUCAUUUAAGAUCGCAUUGGGAGAUUGCAUUGCAAAAUUACAUGGUGUCCUGUGGCAUAUAAUAUGUGUAGCCAAUGUGUGGUGAUGCUUUCCCCGCAAACCAGAAUCCCCCAGCUGGAAGCCUCAGGGGUAGCUGUGGGGGCACCACUUCUUUCAAUAAGAGCGAAUGAACCAUUCUAGGAGUUAUGUAUGCUUCACGCCUUCAAAGACAUUUUCCUGUGUUGGAACUCCUAGUAGCCAACAAAGGAAGAUCCUGGUCAGAGAACAGAAUGUGCAGCAGAGCUGGACACCCGGUGGCACCUGGCUGCUUUGGGCUCCUCCAUGCUGGGUUAAGAGACCCACAAGAGUGCUGGCUGAGUCGUGCUAAAAUGAAGAACUAAGGGUGCUGCUGAUGCUCAUUCUAGGCAGGUUUGGGUAGUCUGGGCUCUGUUGGCCCUCCACAGCAGUAAUAAAAGAAAUAGCAACAAGAGUCAAGAAGAGAUUCUCCCAGGAAUGAAAAACUGGAAAACAAGACAAACCAUGAAUGGUUAAAGCCAUGCAGACUGGCUCGGUAAUGAGCUGCAAGGAUGUGCAUUCUCUUACAGCAUCCAGUGGGUGUUUUUUGUUUUGUUUUGUUUGUGCUGUAUUGUGUAUAUUUUACAAUCUCUAUCUCACUUUUCUUCUUUUUUCCCCUCCUGUCCCACCACCAUUGUAUAUGGGAUCCUAUAUUCCUUUCUCCUUCCCUCCUUUGCACUCCCUUUCUGUGGUUUUGUUUUGAUGUUGUUGUUUCUUUGUUCAUUCAUUUGUUUUUGAAGUGGAGUCUUUCUGUUUAGUCUAGCCUGGCCUCAAAAUCACAAUCCUCUUGCCUCUGCCUCUUUGAGUUUGAAUUACACACACACACACACACACACACACACACACACACACACACACACAAACACACACCACCUUGUUCUGAGUGUUUGCUAAUUUUUAUCAACUUUAUACAAACCUAGACAUAUUUGGGAAGAGGGAAGGAAUUUCAGCCGAGGAGUUGCUUGCAUCAGAUUGUUCUGUAGGCAAGUCUGUGAGGGCAUUUUCUUGAUUAGUGAUGACUCGGGGAGGGCUCAGCCUCCUGUGGGUGGAGCUCCCUCUGGGCUGUAUAAGGAAGGAGGCUGUGCAAACCAUGAGGUACCAACUAGUCAGCAGUGUGCCUAUGUGGUUUCUGUUUGAGUCUCUGCCUCCAGGUUCCUGUUCUGCUUGAAUUCCUGCAUUGGCUUUCAUUAAUGAUGUAUUGUUACCUGGAAGUAUAAGUCAAAUAAAUCCUAUCCUCC